CAGCCGCCGCGGUAAUACGAGGGGGGCAAGCGUUGCUCGGAAUUAUUGGGCGUAAAGGGUGCGUAGGCGGUUUGGCAAGUCUUAUGUGAAAUCUUCGAGCUCAACCCGAAGUCUGCAUGAGAAACUGCCGGGCUUGAGUAUGGGAGAGGUGAGUGGAAUUUCCGGUGUAGCGGUGAAAUGCGUAGAUAUCGGAAGGAACACCUGUGGCGAAAGCGGCUCACUGGACCAUAACUGACGCUGAGGCACGAAAGCUAGGGGAGCAAACAGGAUUAGAUACCCCCGUAGUCCCUGUCUCUUAUAC
rnacentral:rRNA from 1 species